GUAUGAGCCAGGGGAGUCCUGGGGUGCACUAUGUCUGGGCCACCCCAGUGGGAUGGCUGGAGAUGAAGCAGGUGCGGGAUGGGAGCCCGGAGGCACACUACAUCGGGGCUGCCUUGACAGGAUGGUUGGAGUUGGAGUGGGUGUGGGCAGAGAGGGCCUAGGUCAUGCCAUGCUGGGACUGCCCUGGGGGGACAGCUGAGCUGGUGUGGUCCAGGGGCCUGGGGCACACUGGGGCAGCCUUAACUGGUCAGCUAGAGCAUCUGGACCAUUCUCCCACUCACGUUAUCAAGGUGGAGGGGGAGCACAAACAAAUGGUGCUUGCCAGUGCCUCCAACUCCAGAGACAGUUCCAGUGGUUCCUCGCCCAUUUGGCAGACAUUCUAAGAGGGUGAAGUACAAGCUGCCUCCUAAAGCAGAGACCCUAAAGAGAAGUAAUGUCUGUGGAGAAGUACAGGUGGUCCAAAGGCCGACUCAACAGGGAAGCCUCUUGGUGUUUGUCAGUGCACAGACUGAAGAGGAGGAAGCAGUGCGUGAGAGGUCUUCCCAACCUUUCCCACCGGAGUAAUGCAGCCACGUGCUCUCCUUUCGGAGAGUGGCGUUAGUGGUACAAGUGGCGAUGUGAUCACCACAGCAAGUAGUCACAAAAGCAAGCAGAUCCCACCUCUGCAACCUACCUUCUGGUUGCCCUGUCAUGACCCACAUGGGGCUGUACUGAGGCCACGACACCGGCAGACUGGGGCCUGCCACAGAGGGACAGUCUGGUGAAUUCUACCAUGCUGUGCACUUUUCGUUGCUUUGGCCUCGUGCAUUCUCGUUUCUUAUGGAGAAGCCAGAUGGACCUAAUUUCUCUGCGCGAGAGUGAACUCCCCAGUAACUGAAUAGGCUAACCUCACACUGGAUCAGCCUGGACCGUGUAUCCAUCACUAAACAAAUCACUGCGGCAGGGAGACUGAGAUGGACCGCUUGGCUAAGGCAGGAUUUAGAUCUGCCAUUCUGCUAUUUGUUUUCUUUCAUAUAUCUAUGUCUUUUUUUGUUUCUCUAUGUCUCCAGUACUGCCUUCUUUUGUUUUAAAUAAAUAUUUUCUAGUACG
rnacentral:lncRNA from 1 species